rnacentral:rRNA from 1 species
CCGCCGCGGUAACACCGGCGCCCCAAGUGGCAAUCGCGAUUAUUGGGCCUAAAGCGUCCGUAGCCGGAUUAGUAAAUUUUCUGUGAAAUCAGUUGGCUUAACCAAUCGGCGUGCAGGAAACACUGCUAUUCUAGAGACCAGGAGGAGUGAAAGGUAUUCUGAGGGGAGCGGUAAAAUGUGAUAAUCCUUGGAAGACCACCGAUGGCGAAAGCAUUUCACUAGAAUGGAUCUGACGGUCAGGGACGAAGGCUAGGGGAGCAAAACGGAUUAGAUACCCGAGUAGUCCUAGCUGUAAACGCUGUAUGCAAGGUGUUGCGUAUUCUUGAGAAUUCGCAGUAUCGAAGAGAAGUCGUUAAGCAUACCGCCUGGGAAGUACGGCCGCAAGACUGAAACUUAAAGGAAUUGGCGGGGGAGCACCACAAGGGGUGCGGCGUGCGGUUUAAUCUAAUUCAACGCAGAGAAUCUCACCAGAGGCGACAGCAAGAUGAAAAUCAGUCUAAAGGGCUUAUUGGAUGAGCUGAGAGGUAGUGCAUGGCCGUCGUCAGCUCGUGCCGUAAGGUGUCCUGUUAAGUCAGGCAACGAGCGAGACCUGUAUCUACAAUUGCCAGCGAACUCUUCGGAGUGAUCGGGAACAUUGUAGGGACUGCCCGUGAAAACGGGAGGAAGGUGCAGGCUACGGUAGGUCUGCUAUGCUCCGAAUCUUCUGGGCUACACGCGCGCAACAAUGGUAUGGACAAUGGGCUACUACUCCGAAAGGAGACGUUAAUCCUCGAAACCAUGCCGUAGUACAGAUUGUGGGUUGUAACUCACCCCACAUGACGGUGGAAUCCCUAGUAAUCGGAUGUCAUCAUCAUUCGGUGAAUAUGUCCCU